UACGGAGGAUCCAAGCGUUAUCCGGAUUUAUUGGGUUUAAAGGGUGCGUAGGCGGUUUAUUAAGUCAGUGGUGAAAGACGGCAGCUUAACUGUCGCAGUGCCAUUGAUACUGAUGAACUUGAAUGUACUAGAAGUAGGCGGAAUGUGACAAGUAGCGGUGAAAUGCAUAGAUAUGUCACAGAACACCGAUUGCGAAGGCAGCUUACUAUGGUAUUAUUGACGCUGAGGCACGAAAGCGUGGGGAUCAAACAGG
rnacentral:rRNA from 1 species